rnacentral:rRNA from 1 species
UACGUAGGGUGCAAGCGUUAAUCGGAAUUACUGGGCGUAAAGCGUGCGCAGGCGGCUUUGCAAGACAGAUGUGAAAUCCCCGGGCUCAACCUGGGAACUGCAUUUGUGACUGCAAGGCUAGAGUACGGUAGAGGGGGAUGGAAUUCCGCGUGUAGCAGUGAAAUGCGUAGAUAUGCGGAGGAACACCGAUGGCGAAGGCAAUCCCCUGGACCUGUACUGACGCUCAUGCACGAAAGCGAGGGGAGCAAACAGG